GGAUGUGAGGGCAAUCAGGAUGCAGCCCCUGUCACCCCAUGGAUUGCCAGGGUUGAUCCAGCUGAUCUGACUGGCAAGGUGGGCAUCCCCUUCCUCCCUCACCACUCUGUGUGCAUCCCUGAAUGCUUGGUUAGAGAGGACAGCCACCCCAGUGCAGGAGGACCAUUCAUUGGUCUGGGUAUAGGAGGAGCUACACUCCCCCACUAGAACCCCCAAAGAAGCUCUCAAGUUCCAAUAACACCAUUAUUCAGUUAGUGCUACAUCAGAAAAAGAUUUGCUCCUAAUCAAAGACAAAUUGUUAACAUCUAUAGUCACAUAUUU
rnacentral:snRNA from 1 species